rnacentral:lncRNA from 1 species
AUGCAUCACACAAAUCCAUCUUACAAGAAUUUUGGUUACAAACUACAUACACAAUUCAGCAAUCAAUUUUCAUAAUCCUCAACAAAAUCCAAAGCAAGUUACAAUCCUUAAGCUCUGUCAUUUACCUGAAAAUUGAUGGAUGAACAACCUCAAACACUAUAACUAGUAUUUCAAAAUUAAAAUACUAUAACAUAAACACAUCAAAAUUUAAAUUAAUCAUGCCUAUUAUGACAUGAAUAUUGAUUUGGUUAGUCUGUGAAAAAAGAGAGUGAGUAGAGAAGAAACAUUAUGACAUGAUAUAUAUAUAUUGCAAAGUAGUAAGACUAACCUUAGGGAAGUUGCACAGCCACUUGAGCUCAAAAAGAAGAAUCGACGAUGAGUUCAAAGGAAAACUCGCCUUUUAAUUGAUUGGUACAAACAUCAGCUAAAGGAUUGCAGUCGACUAAUUCAAUGGUCUUGAUCCAAGACAGAUCAUCUGACAAAUCGAGUUGUUGCAAUUUGUAGCAGUGCUUCAUGAUAAGUAUACGAAGCCUCGGGAGGCUUCCAUGUUGAGGUCUCCAUUGCAUCAAAUCGGUGUCCUCAAUUUCAA